CGGCGAACGGGUGAGUAACGCGUGGGCAACCUGCCCCCUAGACCGGGAUAACAGCUCGAAAGGGCUGCUAAUACCGGAUACGCCUCAUGUGCUGCAUGGCAUAUGAGGGAAAGCGCUUUAGCGCUGGGGGAUGGGCGCGCGUCCCAUUAGCUAGUUGGUGAGGUAACGGCUCACCAAGGCGACGAUGGGUAGCCGGCCUGAGAGGGUGGACGGCCACACUGGGACUGAGACACGGCCCAGACUCCUACGGGAGGCAGCAGUAGGGAAUAUUGCGCAAUGGGGGGAACCCUGACGCAGCGACGCCGCGUGAGCGACGAAGGCCUUCGGGUCGUAAAGCUCUGUCCUAUGGGACGACGAGGACGGUACCAUAGGAGGAAGCCCCGGCUAACUACGUGCCAGCAGCCGCGGUAAUACGUAGGGGGCGAGCGUUGUCCGGAAUUACUGGGCGUA
rnacentral:rRNA from 1 species